CAUGACAACAAUGAAAAUUUCCUAGCCUGCUGUGGUUGUUUUCAACAGAUUUUUCUCUUUUUUUAAGCUGACUGUGUUACAACUGCCAGAUUCAGCAGGAUUCAGCAAAGCAGGAACCAUGAUACUCAACCUGAAUUCUGUAUUUUGCUAAUUGAGAUCCACGUCUAAUGGUGAAAUUCCUUGUUCUCCUACUGCAGCGAUUUUCAGACUCUAUACCUUUGGCAAAUCCCUUCCGAUGUUUGUGAUCGCUUUACUGAUGGUUUGUUCAUCAUCCUACGUAUGCUUCUAUAUUUGUGAUGGC